GUCUUAAUAGCUCAAUGGUAGAGCAGUACACUGUUAAUGUAUGUAUACUAGUUCGAUUCUAGUUUAAGACG